rnacentral:rRNA from 1 species
GAUGAACGCUGGCGGCGUGCUUAACACAUGCAAGUCGAACGAGGUAAGUAGGAAAGACCUUCGGGUCAAACUUACUUACCUAGUGGCGGACGGGUGAGUAACGCGUGGGUAACCUGCCUCAUACAGGGGGAUAACAGUUAGAAAUAGCUGCUAAUACCGCAUAAGCCCACCGUAUCGCAUGAUACGGUGGGAAAAACUCCGGUGGUAUGAGAUGGACCCGCGUCUGAUUAGCUAGUUGGUAAGGUAAUGGCUUACCAAGGCGACGAUCAGUAGCCGACCUGAGAGGGUGACCGGCCACAUUGGGACUGAGACACGGCCCAAACUCCUACGGGAGGCAGCAGUGGGGAAUAUUGCACAAUGGGGGAAACCCUGAUGCAGCGACGCCGCGUGAGUGAUGAAGUAUUUCGGUAUGUAAAGCUCUAUCAGCAAGGAAGAAAUCAGACGGUACUUGACUAAGAAGCCCCGGCUAACUACGUGCCAGCCGCCGCAGUAAUAC